UACGUAGGGUCCGAGCGUUGUCCGGAAUUAUUGGGCGUAAAGGGCUCGUAGGCGGUUUGUCGCGUCGGGAGUGAAAUCCACUGGCUUAACUGGUGGCUUGCUUUCGAUACGGGCAGACUGGAGGUAUGCAGGGGAGAACGGAAUUCCUGGUGUAGCGGUGAAAUGCGCAGAUAUCAGGAGGAACACCGGUGGCGAAGGCGGCUCCCUGGUCCGUCCCUGACGCUGAGACGCGAAAGCGCGGGGAGCGAACGGG
rnacentral:rRNA from 1 species